rnacentral:rRNA from 1 species
CCUACGGGAGGCUGCAGUCGAGAAUCAUUCACAAUGGGGGAAACCCUGAUGGUGCGACGCCGCGUGGGGGAAUGAAGGUCUUCGGAUUGUAAACCCCUGUCAUGUGGGAGCAAAUUAAAAAGAUAGUACCACAAGAGGAAGAGACGGCUAACUCUGUGCCAGCAGCCGCGGUAAUACAGAGGUCUCAAGCGUUGUUCGGAAUCACUGGGCGUAAAGCGUGAGUAGGCUGUUUCGUAAGUCGUGUGUGAAAGGCGCGGGCUCAACCCGCGGACGGCACAUGAUACUGCGAGACUAGAGUAAGGGAGGGGGAACCGGAAUUCUCGGUGUAGCAGUGAAAUGCGUAGAUAUCGAGAGGAACACUCGGGGCGAAGGCGGGUUCCUGGACAUUAACUGAUGCUGAGGCACGAAGGCCAGGGGAGCGAAAGGGAUUAGAUACCCGUGUAGUC